GGGGCAGAAAGGGCAGAGAAGGCACGGUGCAGAGCUCGAUUGGCAAGGUGGCGAAGGGAUGCAGAGCUUUGCUAGGCAACGAUGGAACUUGGCGCUUUGCUAGGCAGCGAGUGGAAAAAGAGAUGCAGCGCUUUGCUAGAUGGUGAGGCGGCGAAGGGACUUGGCGCUUUGCUAGGCAGUGAAGGGAUGCAGCGUUUUGCUAGGCUGUGGGGCGCGAAUGGACUUGGCGCUUUGCUAGGCGGCAAGGCGUCAAGUGGAAGCAGCGCUUUUGUGGACGGCAAAGGGAGGCAACGCUUUGCCAGGCGGCGUGGCGGCAAAGGGAGUGGGCGCUUUGCUAAGUGGCGAGGCGGUGAGUCGCCGACACGGCGAAGGGACUCGCACUUUGCUAAGCUGUGAGGUGACGGAGUGCUUUGCUAGUCUGUGGGGCGCGAAUGGACUCAGCGAUUUGCUAGUCGGCGACGGGACGCAGUGCUUUGCUCGGGGUUGGAGCGGCGAAGGGAAAGUGCGCUUUGCUAGUCUGCGAGGAGGUGAAGGGAUGCGGCGCUUUGCUAGGCAGUAGGGCGGCGAAGGGACUCGGCGCUUUCCUAGGCGGCGAAGGGACUCGGCGCUUUGCUGGGUAGUGGGGCGGCAAAGGUUCUCAGCGUUUUGCUAGGCUGCGAAGGGACACAGUGCUUUGCUAGGCAGUGGGGUGGCGAAGGGACUCGGCGCUUUGCUAUGUGGCGAGGGGGAAAGGGGACGUAGCGCUGUGCUAGCCGGAGAGGUGGCGAACGGACGCAGCGCUUUUCUAUGCGGCAAAGGUUCUCAGAGUUUUGCUAGGCUGCGAAGGGAUGCAGCGCUCUUCUAUGCGGCAAAGGGACUCAGCGCUUUGCUAGGCAGUGUGGCGGCAAAGGGAGAGGGUGGUUUGCUAAGCGGUGAGGCGGCGAGUUGCCAACACGGCGAAGGGACUCGGCGCUUUGCUAAGCUGUGAGGGGAUGCAUUGCUUUGCUUAGCGGCGAAGGGACGGAGUGCUUUGCUAGUCUGUGGGGCGCGAAUGGACUUGGCGAUUUGCUAGGCAGUGGGGUGGCAAAGGUU
rnacentral:lncRNA from 1 species